rnacentral:rRNA from 1 species
GAUGAACGCUGGCGGCGUGCCUAAUACAUGCAAGUCGAGCGAACAGACGAGGAGCUUGCUCCUCUGACGUUAGCGGCGGACGGGUGAGUAACACGUGGAUAACCUACCUAUAAGACUGGGAUAACUUCGGGAAACCGUAGCUAAUACCGGAUAAUAUAUUGAACCGCAUGGUUCAAUAGUGAAAGACGGUUUUGCUGUCACUUAUAGAUGGUUCCGCGCCGCAUUAGCUAGUUGGUAAGGUAACGGCUUACCAAGGCAACGAUGCGUAACCGACCUGAGAGGGUGAUAGGCCACACGGGAACUAAGACAGGUGCGAUACUUUUACGGGAGGCGGCAGCAGGAUAUCUUCCGCUAUGGGCGAAAGCCUGACGGCGAAACGCGGCGUGAGUGAUGAAAGUGUUGCGAUCGUAAAACUUUGUUAUGAGGUAAGAACAAAUGUGUAAGAAACUGUGCACAUCUUGACGGUACCUAAUCAGAAAGCCACGGCUAACUACGUG